CAAACUUAUAUAUCCAUAAUCCAAAUCCAAUAACCACAACAAUCCAUUUAUAAUUUACCCAAAAUCUGAAAAAUCAAAUACGUAUAUGCUGCCGGCUGCUCAUCCUGCUGUGUCGUCUCCGUUGCUCCGACUGCGACAGUCCGACUCUCCAUGACCACAACUCUGUCUCUGGUCUCCACCGUCAGGUCAAUCCACUGUCCAUUUGGCCAUUACCAUUCAGUUUGGCCUCAUUUUCAUCACUUUCAUUUGUCUUUAGAUUGACCUCUUUCCCUUUGCCUUCAAGCCCUAGGGUCUUUGCCAAAACUGCCUUUUUGUGGAUGUGGGGUGUGGGCUGUGUGGAACUGUGGAUCAAUUUCCUUGCCAACUAUGAAUCCAAUCUCUUUUUUCUGUUUGUCACUACGGCACUACCUAAGCAAGCAGAUGUGUUGGGCUAAUGGAAAUAUGAGAGUUUGAAUGGUUAGGACAUGAGCAAGUAAUAAUGCAAUAUACAUUUUAGCUGCUGCAAUUCUAAUUUGAAUGUUUGAAUGGUAAGGAUCAAUGACAAACUUCUAAAAGAAUUAACACAAUAUUCUUGAAGUGUUUUUAACCUUAUAAUUUAGGUAUCACAUGGGUAGUAUGCUGUAUGAACAUAUUUUAAAUAAUUUUUACUUUGUUAUAUCUGUUUUUAUUUUGUACAAUCAUAGCGUGAAUUUUAAUUCUUUACUUUCAGCUGAUGUAGUCUUUGGAAUGGUCAGUAAAUGGUAUGAAGAUAUCCUCAUCCAACCCUGGGGCCUUCUAUAAAUUUUAAUCAUUGUGGAAAAUUAUUGGCUUCAGUUUGUUACUUGACUAGAAAACUAUGUAUUAUCUUUAUGGAUCAUACUGAUCAAUCAAGUGAAAUUGGGUGUCUUGUUUCUCUACUAGCGUCUUAUGUCAAGCUUUAAGUUUUUUCCCUCUUUAUGAGUGGAUGGACUUUCUCGUGGUGGGGAAAGUAGCUCAAGCUAUACCCCUCCUUGAUUGAUUUUUAAACAAUGUUUUUCCCCAAAAAAUGGCCACCAAACAGGGGCUUAGUGCAAAAAAGUUUCUGCAUUUGUGGAUAAGAAGAUAAAUUUAUACUACAAGAAAAAAGCCUUGAAUGAUUUCAAAAUUUCUAUGAGUUAUAGUUGAACCAGACAAUUUCAACCUUUUAAGAUCUGAAGCUUACAAGGCUUGAUAAGCUUUGGGACAAUAUAAGGGUCAGUUGAUGUAGUAUUUGGAGCAAUAUAAGGGUCAGUUGUGGCUCAUGAGCUUGAGAAUGACCUUGGAAAGGGUGGUCAUGAACUUAGUCUAAGCACUGGCAAAAUACCAGGAAGAAGACUGAAAACAUCGUUGACACAAUCCAAACAUUUCUUCAAAUUGUGAUCAGCUUACCACCAAUUCAGAAAAAGGGAUCAUUCUCAAAGGUGUAAUUCCAAAAUUUUCAUCAAAAUUCCACU